rnacentral:rRNA from 1 species
AUUGAACGCUGGCGGCAGGCUUAACACAUGCAAGUCGAGCGGGGGGAGGUAGCUUGCUACCUAACCUAGCGGCGGACGGGUGAGUAAUGCUUAGGAAUCUGCCUAUUAGUGGGGGACAACAUUUCGAAAGGGAUGCUAAUACCGCAUACGCCCUAAGGGGGAAAGCAGGGGAUCUUCGGACCUUGCGCUAAUAGAUGAGCCUAAGUCGGAUUAGCUAGGUGGUGGGGUAAAGGCCUACCAAGGCGACGAUCUGUAGCGGGUCUGAGAGGAUGAUCCGCCACACUGGGACUGAGACACGGCCCAGACUCCUACGGGAGGCAGCAGUGGGGAAUAUUGGACAAUGGGGGGAACCCUGAUCCAGCUAUGCCGCGUGUGUGAAGAAGGCCUUUUGGUUGUAAAGCACUUUAAGCGAGGAGGAGGCUACCGAGAUUAAUACUCUUGGAUAGUGGACGUUACUCGCAGAAUAAGCACCGGCUAACUCUGUGCCAGCCGCCGCCGUAACAC